GAAGUCGCCCAGACCAUUGGGCAAGCCUAAAUACUAACUAGUGACCGAUAGCGUAUAGUACCGUGAGGGAAAGGUGAAAAGAACCCAGGGAUGGGAGUGAAAUAGAUUCUGAAACCAUAUGCCUACAACGUGUCAGAGCACAUUAAUGUGUGAUGGCGUGCGUUUUGAAGUAUGAGCCGGCGAGUUAUGAUAGCAAGCAGGUUAACCUUUAGAAGGGAAGCCGAAGCGAAAGCGAGUUUGAAUAGAGCGAAUUAAAGUGUUUGUUAUUAUAGACCCGAAACGGGUUGAGCUAGUCAUGGGCAGGUUGAAGUUAGAGUAACAUCUAAUGGAGGACCGAACCGACUUUCGUUGAAACGACAGCGGAUGACCUGUGACUAGGGGUGAAAUUCCAAUCGAAAUCCGUGAUAGCUGGUUCUCGUCGAAAUAGUUUUAAGACUAGCGUAAGAUCAUGAUCAACUGGAGGUAGAGCUACUGAAUGUAUGAUGGCGCCGCCUUGGUGUACUGAAUACAAUUAAACUCCGAAUGC
rnacentral:rRNA from 1 species